rnacentral:lncRNA from 1 species
GCGAUACUUUGGACACAUCAAUCCUAUACAGUUAACAAUCAAAUUAGUAAGUAACUAACUAAAUUUAAGAAUAAAUAAUUUAAUUAUUAAACUCUAAAAAAAAUUUGGAUGCUUAACUUGAUAUGUCGGGUCCUCAUACCUGCGACAUAAGACAGUUCAAUCCUCAAUACUGAUGCUAUCAUAUGGCAGCUACCAUGCUGCCUCCACCCUCUGAUACUGCACAAUAUCGUACCAAUG